GCAGCUAUACUGUCCUACAACACACGCUUGUGCUUCUUUCCCAUUCCAAGCAACAGCAGUAAAAGUGUAUGCUACACGAUAUACCAGGAUCAUGUCAACACCAAUGGAGAUGGCAAAAUUACAGAAAAGUUGGAAUAUGAGAGGCUGCAAUAUGAAAGGCUGUGUCACAAAAUGUUAGUAUUUAAAAUGUCCCCACAAUGGAUCUGUUCAGAUGGAUGGAACUACCUGUAGUACACCAGCUGCCUAACGUGUAUACAACAAAGCAAGGUGAAGGUGCAACGGGCUGUACCACAGUCACUUUAUCUACUGAAGUUAUAUUCUGUUGUCUAUUCUCUCUCUUAACAAGAUCAUACCUUAAAAAUGACAGUAAUUGAGUAUACGUGAAGAAUUUCUUCAGAGUUUAUUUACCAACAUAAAAGAAGCUUUUUGCACUUCCAGAUAAACAGAGCUAGACUGUAGGGAACCACAGUGACACCAUAACUGUGCUCAGAGGAUUUUGGAUUGAACAAUCUCAGAAGUAAAACAAGCCUAAUGCUCUAGGGGAAUAAUAUUUGAAAACAUUAUUUAACAAAUAAUGUUAAAGUAACAAAUGCUGCCGUCUCCAUUUGAAAGAAAUGUUUUCAUCAGUAAUAGGGCUUCAGUUUGGAACAACACUUUGCACAGACCGCAACAUACAAGUCAGCAAUGCGAGUAGCUGCUGGCAGAGAGUCACCUGUUAUUAAAAAACCUUUCCUGAGAAGCUGCUGAAUUCAUCUUAACCUCUGAGUUACUUUCUCCAUAAACUGCACCUAACAAAGGCAUUCCUGACUCUGGCAGUGAUUCCAUCCAACAUGCCCAUAGAAAUUGUCUGUCUCUCAUUUGGGACUCUUGACCCACUGUAGUGCACUCAUCAUUUAUUUUAUCAGAAAUGGGGGUGCUGAACACAGUUGAAAUAAUACUGAAAUAUCUGGGGGUGGGGGAGGUUUGCAUUAAAGUUGCACAUCAGUUAAUUCUUUUUCUUUUCCUAGAGCAAAUCAGUCAAGAAAAAUGAAGACGCUUCCAAAUUUUUUAUCAAUGUUUUGACAAGUGUUGAGAUCACUCUUUCUCCUCAAUUUUUUCAGUUAGUAUCCCAGAGAAAGGGGAAAAGUUGAAAUACACACCACAAAAGAGGUUUCAGAGAUUUUUUUCCUUCAAUUUGAAGAGGCAGAGCUUUGUUAGUUAAUCCAGUGUUUUUCAAAAUUGUCCCACAAAGAUAAUUUCUCCAUCUCCCUUCUCUUCAACAGAAUGUCUUAAAUGAAAGCCCUGGAAUAAUUUUUAGUUCUUCAAAAUGUUCACUAUAGCUUUGAUCUCAUCAUGGAGAUCUCUCUAUCUCAUGAAAUAUUGACAGUAGACAGCUUCUACACAGCUCAAGCAAAGUGUUUUAAAACAUAUCCAUUUCAGAGGCCUUUAUGAUAACUUCAUUUUCUUAAAAGAAUUUAUGAGAGAGAAAAGUCAAAUGCAAAAAUUUGGAAAGUCAGCGUAGAGAUCCAUCAGAGAUACUUAAAUAAUAUAUUCUGAAGAGGCUAUCAUUGAAAUUUUGCUCAGAGAUUGAAGAGGAAGAUUAUAUUUCUUGUUUAUUUUGGGAGUUUUCUAUACAGUUCCCCAAAUAAGCUGUAUAUUGAAUAAGACUUCCUCAAAAAAAAAUUCAUCCAAGUUGGCUUCUAAGGCCAUGACUUGGAAACCUAUCCAUAUGUGGCUAACUUUAUGCACUGUGCUUUCCUUCCUUUUUUAACCCAUGAAAAAUAUUUAUCUGCUUAGUAUAAAAUCUGCUAAAGCCCAUUUUCCUGGAGGUGAAUACCUUGGAAGUUGCCUGGAUUCUCAUAUGCAUACUGAGUCCUUUGCAAAUA